rnacentral:rRNA from 1 species
GACGAACGCUGGCGGCGUGCUUAACACAUGCAAGUCGAACGGAAAGGCCCCUUUGGGGGUACUCGAGUGGCGAACGGGUGAGUAACACGUGAGUAACCUGCCCUUGACUUCGGGAUAACUUCAGGAAACUGGGGCUAAUACCGGAUAGGAAUCCUUGCUGCAUGGUGGGGGUUGGAAAGCUUCGGCGGUUUUGGAUGGACUCGCGGCUUAUCAGCUUGUUGGUGGGGGGGUGGCUUACCAAGGCUUUGACGGGUAGCCGGCCUGAGGGGGGGACCGGCCACAUUGGGACUGGGAUACGGCCCAGACUCCUACGGGAGGCAGCAGUGGGGAAUAUUGCACAAUGGGCGGAAGCCUGAUGCAGCAACGCCGCGGGCGGGAUGACGGCCUUCGGGUUGGAAACCGCUUUCAGCAGGGGCGAAGCUUGUGGUGACGGUACCUGCAGAAGAAGCACCGGCUAACUACGUG